UACGUAGGGUGCGAGCGUUAAUCGGAAUUACUGGGCGUAAAGCGUGCGCAGGCGGUCUGUUAAGACAGAUGUGAAAUCCCCGGGCUUAACCUGGGAACUGCAUUUGUGACUGGCAGGCUAGAGUAUGGCAGAGGGGGGUAGAAUUCCACGUGUAGCAGUGAAAUGCGUAGAGAUGUGGAGGAAUACCGAUGGCGAAGGCAGCCCCCUGGGCCAACUAC
rnacentral:rRNA from 1 species